GGACAUCAUUGACGCUUUAUCGGAGCCUUGGGUUGAGGUGGAAAACAUUAUCAAUGGUAACGUUGAACAUCCCCCUCAACCCAAUUCACCGAUUAUUGAGGAAAAUGAUGUUCUGCCAGAGAGAUUGGUGGUGGUAGAGGCCGAAAAUAACAUCAUUCGGUCACCACAACCAUCACCACCACCGUCACCCAUAAUAUUAUCACAGGGCGUCAAUGACAUUCAACAACCAUCUGUCAUUGACGCACUGGCAGAGCCGUGGGUUGAAGAGAGGAGGCAGGGUGAAGAGAUGGAUGUUGAAAAUGACAUCAUUCAACCCUCUCAAUUGUCACCCAUUCUAGGGCAAAUAAAUAAUAGGAUUGAGAAUAGGGUGGAGGGUGGAGACGAUGACGACGACGAUGACAUCAUUCCACCCACUCCCCCUCACUCACGAUCAAGGAGGCGUCGGCGCCCUAGAAAGCCUCGUAGACGUUCGCGAAAGUCGCCAUUAAUAUUAAUUAUUAAUAAUUAUAAUAUUAAUAUUAAUAUUAAUGAUGUUAAUAUUAAUAAUUAAUAUUAAUAAAUCCUAUUUCCAUCCCACACUCAUAUCAAGUACAUUUAAUUCGGACGCGAUUUUCCAAAUUUUAACAUCAUACUACCUACAACACGAUGGCAAGCAUGCUGCUCCUCCUCGAGGUCUUGCUGGAUACCUAUCUUUGAACACAAAAAAAUAUAUAUUUAUAUAGUAUAAAUAAAAGUCUUUCAAAGAUAGUAACAGAAGGCAGCCAAUUUAUAAUUAAACUUUGUUAGUAACCUGUUUAAUUUAUUGAUUCAUAUUUUCAUAAGAAAAUGCAUCACUGUGAAAAUUGUAAUAAACAAUUUACAACCCGUCAAUCACGACUACGCCACGAAAAGCUCUAUUGUCAAGUGGUCAAAAAACAGGAAAAUGGAGGACCGACCGCCAAAAAACAGAAAAUAUGUCAUUCAACUGCUAGCAACAAUUAUAUGUGCGUUACAUGUAAUCAAGAAAUUGCUCCAAAGCUUAUUACGGCCCAUGAGAGAAGUAGACAGCAUAGAAAUAAUUGUCAAAGUACUCCCUUGGAGGAUGGGGUGUUUGCACUCAGCAGUGCAUUUAAAUCACGCAUCGCUUCAUAUAGGAUUUGUGAUGAGGGCGAUUAUAUCGAUUUAAAUAAAUUUAUGGAUAAAAUUCACAAUAAAUUACUUAGACUUAUUGUUUCACAAAUUGAAAAAUUUAGUACAAUCAAAAUUAAUUUGGAAUUAUUUGAAUUGUAUACCAUUGAAUCAAAAAAUAUAUUUGAUGUAAAAUCUUUUAAUACUACUAACAGAAUUGUCACUUUAGGCACGAAUAUUAGGAAUAUGUUGCAUGACUUUCAAGAAGUUAUUAGUCAAAAAAUGAUGGAUUAUUUGGAACGAGAUUCAGGCUGGACACUUGUGAAAAUCUUACAUUUAGAAUUAAAUGUAAACUAUUACAAUCCAUUGAAAGCGUCAUCGUAUAUCCCACUACCGCCAAGCGUGAAAAUGAAGAGGGCAAUAGUUAAUGUUCAAAAUCAGGAUAUUCAUUGUUUUGGUUGGAGUGUCGUAGCAGCAGUGUGUCUACCUAUGGGACCAGAACAUUUACCCAGUUCAUAUCCACAUUGGUCGACACUUUUUAAUUUCCAAGGUAUUGAAUUUCCUGUAAAACUGGAUAGUAUUGCAAAAUUUGAAAGUCAAAAUAAUGUCUCUAUUAAUGUUUACGGACUUGAAUUACUUUAUGUAAACAAUAAGGUAAAAUUUGAAAUUGUGGGACCAUUAUAUUUUACAAACUUUAAGAAACCGGUACACAUAAAUUUAUUAUUGUUGAGUGAUAACGAUGGUAAUCAACAUUACUGUACAAUAACUAAUUUGCCACGUUUAGUAUCUUCCCAACUCUCAAAACAUCAUCAUUCAAAAUUUUUCUGUGAUGGAUGUUUACAAUAUUUCACAACCCAAGCUUUAUUAGAUAGACAUUCUUCGACUGAUUGUGGAAAACUUUAUGCUAGAAUUCCAAAUAAUGAAUUAAUAACAAAUAGAUUUGGUUAUAAUGUUCCCGCUAAUGUAUUAGAAUUUCAAAAUUAUCAUCAUAAAAUGACUAUCCCAUUUAUUGUUUAUGCUGAUUUCGAAUGUUUAUUGAAACCUAUGAGUACAGUUGCACCAAAUCCAAAUCAAUCAUUUUCGAUAAAAACUUUUCUCCAUCAACCAUAUUCAUGUGCAUAUUACAUUAAAUGUUCAUAUAACGAUCAAUUAUCUAAAUUCCAAAGUUUUCGAGGACAGUCAUCUGUGGUUGACUUUAUUACAGCAUUAGAAAUAGAUUUGAUAGAGAUUUAUAAAAAGUAUUUAAGUAUUGUACAACCAAUGCUUCCAUUAACUAUUCAAGAAGAGUUUGAUUAUCUUACAGCAACGAAAUGUCAUAUUUGUCAAAAACCUUUUCAACAGAAUGAUAUUAAAGUAAAAGAUCACUGUCAUUUAACGGGUCGUUAUAGGUCCGCCGCGCACAGUAAUUGUAACUUGAAUUUUCAAAUUCCAAAUUUUAUUCCGAUAGUAUUUCAUAAUUUAACAAAUUAUGAUAGUCACUUAUUCAUUAAAGAGUUGGCCCUUGAAGAAAGUGAAAUUAAUAUCCUUGGUAAAACUAAAGAGAAAUAUAUUACAUUUUUGAAAAAAAUUUGUGUAGGCGAAUAUCUAAAUUCAAACAAUCGAAUAGUCAAGGAGCACUUACACUUGCGUUUUAUAGAUAGUUUUCAGUUUUUGGCAUGUUCAUUAGAAAAACUGGCAGCAGCCUUGGAUGAUGCUCAAUGUAUGGAAGUAAAACGAUACUUUCCCGUUGACAGAGAAUUUCAGUUAAUUAGACAGAAAGGGGUUUUUCCAUAUUCAUUUAUCGAUGAUUUUUCUAAAUUAGAUCUCAAGGAAUUACCACAAAAAAUUGAUUUUUACGAUAAACUUCGCGAUGAGCAUAUUUCUGAAGAUGAUUAUCAACGAGCUAAUACCGUAUGGAAUACAUUCCAUUGUCAGACUUUAGGCGAAUAUUCUGAUCUCUAUUUAAAAAGUGAUAUUUUACUAUUAGCUGAUGUCUUUGAGAAUUUUCGAAACAUGUGCCUUAAGCAUUAUGAACUUGAUCCAGCACAUUACGUGACAGCACCAUCUCUUAGUUGGAAUGCUAUGCUUAAAUUUACCCAUGUAAAAUUAGAAUUAUUGACUGAUAUAGAUAUGUUGCAUUUUUUCAAAAAAGGGAUUCGUGGGGGAGUUAGUACAUGUGUUAAACGAGCGGCUCAAGCAAAUAAUAAAUUUCUUCCAAAUUAUGACCCUUCGAAACCGACAUCAUACAUUUUAUAUCUCGAUGCAACAAAUCUCUAUGGUUGGGCUAUGAGUGAAGUACUCCCUUUAGGUGGAUUUACUUGGUUAACGCAAGACGAAAUUAAUUCACUUAGUAUUAUGGAUUUGACUGAUACCACACCUGAAGGUUAUGUCCUUGAAGUAGAUAUCUCUUAUCCUCAUCAUUUACACAACUCUCAUAAUGAUAUGCCAUUUCUACCUGAAAAUUUAAUUCCACCAAACGGAAAAUGUGCUAAACUCAUUCCAAAUCUAUGUGCUAAGACAAACUACAUAAUACACUAUCGAAAUUUAAAACAAGCUCUACAAAAUGGACUAGAAUUGACAAAAAUUCAUAGAGUACUAAAAUUCAAUCAAUCGUCAUGGCUCAAACCAUAUAUUGAUUUAAAUACGAAAUUACGAAAUCAGACUAAAAAUAAGUUUGAAAAA